AUACGGAGGGAGCAAGCGUUAUUCGGAAUCACUGGGCGUAAAGGACGCGUAGGCGGGUUUGUAAGUCAGGUGUGAAAUCCUACAGCUCAACUGUAGAACUGCACUUGAAACUACAGACCUAGAGUAUGGAAGGGGCAGAUGGAAUUAGUGGUGGAGGGGUAAAAUCCGUAGAUAUCACUAGGAAUACCGAAAGCGAAGGCGAUCUGCUGGGACAUUACUGACGCUGAGGCGUGAAAGCGUGGGGAGCAAACAGGAUUAGAAACCCCAGUAGUCC
rnacentral:rRNA from 1 species